GGCCCAGACUCCUACGGGAGGCAGCAGUGGGGAAUAUUGCACAAUGGGCGAAAGCCUGAUGCAGCCAUGCCGCGUGUGUGAAGAAGGCCUUAGGGUUGUAAAGCACUUUCAGCAGUGAGGAAAGGUUACAGAUUAAUACUCUGUAGCUGUGACGUUAACUGCAGAAGAAGGACCGGCUAACUCCGUGCCAGCAGCCGCGGUAAUACGGAGGGUCCGAGCGUUAAUCGGAAUUACUGGGCGUAAAGCGCGCGUAGG
rnacentral:rRNA from 1 species